ACCUGCCGCGGGUGCCGUGAACGGCGUCCGCGGCGGCAGACAGAAACCGUGCUCUGGGAAGAUUUGGGCACAUAAGGGCGUU
rnacentral:sRNA from 22 species